GAUUCAUUAUUUUACUAUCAAUUGAAGAUGUUUCUAUGACAACAGAGAGUACUGUUGAAAUACUUGAUAGUGUACAAGAAUGGCCACCACAAGUAGUAGCUAAUCAAUCAAAUAAUAUUGUCCAGUCAUU